UCUCAAGCUUUUGGAGCUCUGCUACAUUGUCAGGUGAAGUUGAAGAAAAGAAACAUCCUAAUAAUUAUCAACUGAAUGUACGUUAAUCUGUUUGAGAUUGUCAAACUUGGCUGAUGCUGAUUUACAGAAUGUUUCUCUUCUGUUUUCAUCCAGGCAAAUACAUGAAGGACCAAGACAAAGUAUCAUUUCCUUGGUGCAAAGCCAAGUGUGAGCAGCUGCUUCUCACAAACAGCAGAAAACGGCAGGGACAAUGACAGUUCUGCACACGUUCCGAAUGCCAAACAACUGACAGACAAACACUUGAAGGAACAAGACAAUGUAUCAUUUCUUCAGUACAAAGCUCCUCCUAACAAACAGCAGAUAUGUUCCCAUUAUCACAGCAUGAGAACAUCCUUUCCCCAGUCACAGAGCAGAUUGAAUCAGACACACGUUGAGCUUUAAUUUCCAGUCAGACACGUUAAAGCCGACAAUAAAACAACACAGAGGAAUGCCACUUUAUUUUGCUUCUCUCUCCAUUCAAAAUACCCAGUUCGAACAGGUUUCACCUAAAAUAACCCAUUGACAUUUACACCAUUUUUGAAGAUGGGUAGACUGAAUCCUUGUCCAAAGUAUACCAUCAGGAAUUGAAGGAAAUCUGCAUAGAAUUACUCAAAUAUCAACUCCACAUAAUGAAUCACACCUCCACCGAUAAUAUUACUGGCUGGCUGACAACUGAUCCACUUUUAGGAGUAGAAAUACCUAACCUCAAGCAUUCAUAUUGCAGGGUCAGACAGGAAAAAAGUGGUAUUUGACCAUAUUAAUACUUCAGAAACUGCAAGUAAAAGGUUGAUUAAAAAUGUUCACAUAGUCACAUAAUAGAAACUAUUAUGCACAUAUUCAUUGCUGUACUCGCAUUCACAGAGACUGAAACUGGCAGGAAUAUAUUGAUGAUAACACUCCCAAUUUCACAGAGCAUCAAGUGACAGCUACAAACUUAGAACUGCAAUCACAAAUCCACAGACAGACAGGCACGGAUUGCUGACUGUACUCAAAUAUUCAGAGUAGGUUCUCACAGGUACAUCUUGGUAACUGGACGCUCAAAUUGACAGAGAAGCAAAUGAUAGGUGCACAUUGCUUUCACUCACAUAUCCAAAUGGACGAACUUGACAGGAACAGAUUGAUAACAACCUUGGACAUAGCAAGAACUGCAAAUGCUGGAAUCAGCCUUCCCAGUUAUACGCAGCAUAAACUGACUGACAUGUAUGGUUUGAUAAUUACUCUCAUUCACAGAGCGGAAUCUGAAACGUCCUUAUUGAUAACUGCACUCACAUGGCCACCAAGCAGAAACUGACAGAGUUUGAUCACAGUGACAGCCAAAUUGCGGAAAUUGACAGAUACAUGUUGAUAAUCGUUUUCACUGAAAUGUCAAGGUCAGUUCAUUAAAUACGCUGCUGUUGA